rnacentral:rRNA from 1 species
UACGUAGGGGGCAAGCGUUGUCCGGAAUUAUUGGGCGUAAAGAGCGCGUAGGCGGUCUGAUAAGUCGGUUGUGAAAGUCGGGGGCUCAACCCUCGGAUGCCGAUCGAUACUGUCAGGCUAGAGUCCGGAAGAGGCGAGUGGAAUUCCUGGUGUAGCGGUGGAAUGCGCAGAUAUCAGGAGGAACACCGAUAGCGAAGGCAGCUCGCUGGGACGGUACUGACGCUGAGGCGCGAAAGCGUGGGGAGCGAACAGG